rnacentral:rRNA from 1 species
CAGCAGCCGCGGGAAUACGAGGGGGGCAAGCGUUGUUCGGAAUUAUUGGGCGUAAAGGGUGCGUAGGCGGUUUGGCAAGUUUGGUGUGAAAUCUUCGGGCUCAACUCGAAGUCUGCAUCGAAAACUGCCGGGCUUGAGUAUGGGAGAGGUGAGUGGAAUUUCCGGUGUAGCGGUGAAAUGCGUAGAUAUCGGAAGGAACACCUGCGGCGAAAGCGGCUCACUGGACCAUAACUGACGCUGAUGCACGAAAGCUAGGGGAGCAAACAGGAUUAGAGACCCCUGUAGUCCCUGUCUCUUAUAC